GGGCUGGCAGCAGCUGCAGAGUCCCGGCAGUAGCUGCAGAGUCCCAGCAGCCACAGAGCCCCUUUCCCAGUGGCCAUGGAGCCCUGGCAGCCCCAAGGAACCGUGCAGCCCUGGCAACCACAGAAGCCAUGGCAACCAUAGAGCCCCAACAGCUAGGGAGCUCCAGCCUGGGGUCCAUGGAAGGGCACACAGCAGCGGGGCUCGGCUGGAGUCCUAGCCAAGGGCAGCAGCAUGGGCCAUGUUGGGAGGGACCUCCCUUUGUUUGGCAAAUCACCUUGUUCAGGACAAGUCAGAUCCCAAGGGUGCUGGAUGAGGGAAGCACAACAUGCAGUAGUUUUCUGUGAGCAGCAUAUUCACCAUCAUCAAUGAACUUUACAUAGAAAAAUCCAGUUAGUAGCAUUAAAAACCCAUGUUAAGAACAUGCAGUGCAUUCUAACAGUACAGUAGCAGUAGAUCUUUCAUCUUGUGCCUAGUGUAUAUCAUUUCCCCAGGGUUAAGAUUAAACAAAGCUUUUGUAUUCAUUUGAAGUAAUUGUAAUGAGAAUAUUUAACACAGGUCAGAUGCAGAUAGUGGAACUCUAGAGGACCUUGGAAAUAUUCUGGCUUUUUGACACUUGCCCACAGUGGGAUGUGAAAGGAUUAUUGCUAUUUUUUUAUUUUAUAUUUGUAAGGAGGGGGAUAAUAAUAUUCUGUUUGUAAUAAUAGUGAAAUCUGUGGAUUGAGGCUUUUAAAACAGAAUAUAAUUAACAAAGUGAACACUGAAACUGUUUCUGUCAUCUUAACUAAAACCUUUAUUACAAAUUCAAUGUAUGUGUAUGUGAAUACAAAAAUUACAGAAUACUUAAUGUUCUAAGCAUGUAUGAAGAUUAUCUUUAAAACACAUUUUAUUCAUUCCUGAGCAGAAAUGUAAAAUAGUCAUGUAUCUGUGGUGUGCAGUUACU